ACACACACACACACACACACACACACACACACACACACACACACACACAGAGUGUAGUGGUAGUUUCUUUGUGUUGGCCUUGUGAAACAGAAUACUCAACUUUGUGAGGUUCUAGGUUGAGGUUUUUCGAUUGGCAUAUUUGGUGGCGUCGAGCCAGGCUGUGCCCCGAGGCCAUUGGCAUUUCCAUUACAAGUCGAACAGCGCCAAACUGCGGUGCGCUUUUGGACCCGGCGAGUCCAAACGGUGCCAGGUCUGCCUCCAAACGUGCCAAAUGACGUCAAAGAUACUGGGUCUUUUGCGAUAGACAUAGUGUGUCUGUAUUUUUUUUAUAUCAAGACACACUAUGAAGCAGAUCCGGUUGAUUCUUUUUGAUCUGGAAUAGUUUGAAUAGCAACAAAAACAACGAGAGUAAACGGUCAACUGCUCAAUCGACAUUUCUACCACAGUGAGUUUGUUUUUGGCAGACAAUUAAAUUAACAAAAAUAAAUGUAUUCUCUCAUAGUGACAAGUGGUACACACUCGACGAAUUCCAUGGCUAAAUAACAUUGUUAAUUAGCAAGCUGGCAAGAAAGCCCACAUAGAAUUAGAAACAGCUAACAUUAAUGUUAGCAAGGAUUCAAGCUUAGAGAUAAUGGAAUCAAUUUAACAAAAGCAGCCUCCGGUAUCUUUGACUAAAGAGAGAAAGUACUAGUCUGGAAACUAAACAAGUUGGUUUCAUUUUAGACUAAACCAAAUGUUUCCUGUGUGGGCUGAUGUUAUACAUGCCUAAAUACAUGUAUGGCUACUGGGCUAUCAAUGGAGGAUACUAACAUUACUCUUUGCGUUGUGGAGUUCUUUGCCUCCACUUUUUGUCGAAUAUUUUUAUAUGGCGCGCUCACUUACUUACUUACUUAAAAACCGCACCCUCUGACGAGUCGGCCCUGAUGAACGGAAAUGCAAAUCCAAGCUGUGAUUGGUCGACGGGUGGAGCUGGGCGGAGCUGCAACGAGUGACGCCAUUCCUGUGGAAAAACGGCACACACACACACACACACACACACACACACACACACACACACACACGCGUGUAUGCCAAGAAGGGGCAACAUCUGGGGGUCUACCUGGGAGGAGUUGGUCCUGGGUGUGAGAGGUAUAAAGGCCUAUGCACACGACGGCAGAGAGGAGUGGGUCCUGGGUGUGAGAGGUAUAAAGGCCUAUGCACACGACGGCAGAGAGGAAGGCCAGGCUCCUGGGUGUGAGAGGUAUAAAGGCCUAUGCACACGACGGCAGAGAGGAGUGGGUCCUGGGUGUGAGAGGUAUAAAGGCAUAUGCACACGACGGCAGACAGGAGUGGGUCCUGGGUGUGAGAGGUAUAAAGGCAUAUGCACACGACGGCAGAGAGGAAGGCCAGGCUCCUGCCAAUCACCAUUUGAAUGCUAAUGAACGGGGUGCGAGCCAUUUGGCAUGGUUGCAGACAAAAAGGAAAAA